UCUCAAUAAUGAAGGAAAUGAAGUAUCUUCUACUGAACAUGUUUCUGAGUCCUUUGAAGCUAUUGCUGAGGACAGUGUAAUCAUGGAAAAUCCUUCAGAUGAAACUGUCCCGGUCAUAGA
rnacentral:ribozyme from 1 species